UCGUAACAAGGUUUCCGUAGGUGAACCUGCGGAAGGAUCAUUACUGAGUGCGGGCUGCCUCCGGGCGCCCAACCUCCCACCCGUGACUACCUAACACUGUUGCUUCGGCGGGGAGCCCUCUCGGGGGCGAGCCGCCGGGGACUACCGAACUUCAUGCCUGAGAGUGAUGCAGUCUGAGUCUGAAUAUAAAAUCAGUCAAAACUUUCAACAAUGGAUCUCUUGGUUCCGGCAUCGAUGAAGAACGCAGCGAACUGCGAUAAGUAAUGUGAAUUGCAGAAUUCAGUGAAUCAUCGAGUCUUUGAACGCACAUUGCGCCCCCUGGCAUUCCGGGGGGCAUGCCUGUCCGAGCGUCAUUGCUGCCCAUCAAGCCCGGCUUGUGUGUUGGGUCGUCGUCCCCCCCGGGGGACGGGCCCGAAAGGCAGCGGCGGCACCGUGUCCGGUCCUCGAGCGUAUGGGGCUUUGUCACCCGCUCGAUUUAGGGCCGGCCGGGCGCCAGCCGACGUCCAACCAUUUUUUCUUCAGGUUGACCUCGGAUCAGGUAGGGAUACCCGCUGAACUUAAGCAUAUCAAUAA
rnacentral:misc_RNA from 1 species